UCGCGGGGCCGCCCCGCCGCCCCCCCUCCCGGGCGCCCCGCGCGCCCGGGCUGCGUCUGCCGGCUCCCCUCGCCUCCCACCCGCCUCUCCGCUCCCCUUGCUCCCGCGCCCAGUUUGGGCUCCGCUUUCUUCUUUCAGGGCCUCUCGGAUCACAACCCCCGCCCCCCCUUGGCUCGCCCGCUCCUGCUGGCCAGCCUGCAGGCGUCUCUUCGUUUUGCAGUGUACACCACCUGAAUCUGUAACCCCAAAGAGGAGUUCCCACGGGGGGGAACAAAAGAAGAAAAAGAAAGCGAACCCCGGUGGCGCUCCCAAAUCCACCCUUCCCAGGGGUCGGCUCCACUGCCUUGGUCAUCGGCUCACAUCACCCGGCGGCAGACAAGGCUCAGCACUUCCUUGAGUUUCCGUGAAGCGAAGGCCUCACUUUGAGCACCAAGACGUUAGACACGAUGACACUGCGGAUUUUAAUAAGUCAGCUUGGAUUCUCAGUGGAAUAGUGGGACCUGAUGGUGCCUUUGGAAAGCAGUUUCAGAGGGACGCGGGUAAAGAAGACACCAGCCAAGGAAUGGCCCCUUGGGGGGCCAGCAAAUGCUUCAAAAAGACAGACUGGCCUCCUGAGUCCAGAGCUGAUGCACGUCGAGGCCGUCAAGGAAGGUAAGCAUUUGAAUGUGCUGUGGAUUCGGGAAUAAAAGCUCUUAGUCAUUGGCGCCGUUUCUGUGAAAUGGUUGGAGAAGAGACAGACCAGAGGGAAUGGAAGGGAGGAAGCCCCACCGUCCGCAUUCGAACCUGUCUUCUCUUCUGUGCCCUGCCCUGUAUCGCUCCUUCAUUUUCUUGCCAAGAAGGUUGCAGCGGUAGCCGACAUCUACUCUCUCAUUUUCUAACCACCCACCCACCGCCUCCGUCCGCCCCAGCCAAGCCCGUGAAAUGCAUUGCCCACUUCCGGAAGGCAUCGCUGGCCGUCUUCAGGAGCCGCUCCGUCGUUUCUGACGUCAUUCGAUAGUAGGAAAACAAAAAUCCCUUCUGUUUUUUUAUGAGGCAUUUUCAGGUAUCGGGUGCAGAGGUAAAAGUUCAUAAGCACAUACUCUUAAUGAGCUAAGCGCGGGAGCGCUAGAUAAAUAAGAAUGAUUCGGUUUGACAAUUGCAGGGGCGGAACACGGAGUCUUUGGUUGCAUAGUCCAAGAAGAGUGAUUGUCUUUCCCCCUGUCUUCAUGCCAUGACAGGUAGCUUUCCCGUUCCUUGCCAGUUUCAUGAACUUGGAUUUGGACACAUUCCUUUCCCACCUGGUCAAGAAAGUAGAGCGUAUCCGAAUACAAACAAGAGAAAGGGACGUUAAUAGUAUCAGGAUCAUUUUUGAUGUAUUCUUAUUAAUGAAAAAGGAAAAUUGGGGAGUUCCCAUUGUAGAUUGAGGACCCCACGUUAUCUUUGUGAGGAUGCAGGUUUGAUCCUUGGCCUUGCUCAGUGGGUUAAGGAUCUGGUGCUGCUGUGGCUGUGGCAUAGGUCGCAGAUAUGGGUGUUGCUGUGGCUGUGGUGUAGGUUGCAGUGUAUCUCUGUUUUGACCCCUCACCUGGGAACUUCCGCAUGCUGCAGGUGCAUGCCAAAAAAGAAGGAAAAAAAAAAAAAAGAAAGAAACAUAAAAUAUUCACAAACUUCGUAACUUUAUAGUUAGUACCAAAUUCCUUGUGCUACAGCACAAUCCUGAUGAAAGAAGACUCGAAGGCCUCACGGAUAGAGCUCGGGCAGUUGGGUAUUGUGGGUAGUGAGGCUCCUACAGGAGGCGUAGACAAGGCAUCUGACUUGUGAAGUGCCUUCUGUGCUCAGGAGCUUCAGUUUUAUCCAAAAGAGUGAAGGAGAAGCCACAGGAAAAGGAAGACUUCUGGAGGCAAGGUUGAACAUGACCCAGCAGCAUGGAGGUGGGUGAAAGGAGUGUUGUGGUGACCCUGGGGAGAGACGAGGAUGGCCUGAGGUGGGAGAGCCGGCAGAGAUGAAGAGAGCAUAUUUGGAAGAGAAGCAAGAUUCUUAUUCUUGGGUAAAAACUCUGUUUUUUUAAUGGCCACAUCCACAGUAUAUGGAGGUUCCUGGGCCAGGGAUCCAACAGGUGCCUUUGCAGUGACUGGGGCUGCUGCAGGCAGGUUCUGAACCCACAGUGCCACAGUGGGAACUCCUCUAUGGGAAAACUCUUGGUGGUUUGCGUGUAGCACAUGAUCCCGUAUCACUCGGUAAAGGGCUUCACUCUGUUUCCCUUUUGAGCUUCACGUCUUCUUUCCCUUGUGCUCCAGUUUACAGCAAGACAAGUUCGUUGCAGACGGAAAUACCAUUUUGGUGCUUUCUUUUCUCUUUACACUCCCUUUAAAAAUUCUUCAGCUCUGUUGGCACCAACUUCUAUCUCGGUGCUGAUAUCUCCCAGGGAACCUGCCGGAAGUCCAAAGUCAACACGAAUGUGCAGCAGUUAGAGUGGGACGUCUUUCACCUUGGCCUUUGUACUAGCCAGCUUUCUAAAUUUUCCUGUUUCCUUCUUGGGUACUAAUUCUCCCUGUCACUCAGAUUCCAGACUUUGCUUUAAUUUAAAAUUAUACCCUUCUUCAGAAAUUCCCUUUAACUAAGUCAUAUUUUUCUUACAAAAUACCCCUGAACUUUAUCUUUGCUUCUGCUCUAGCCUUCCAUCACUUACCACGAUGCUUGGCAUAGCACAGGCUCCUCGUAUUGACUGAUUGAUUGACUGACAGUCUCCUUAAGUCUAGGGCCUCACAUCUUUAUGCCUGGACCGAUGCCACGGGCUCCUAAGUCGGCUUUCACAUGCUUGCUCCCUUUGCUGGGAAUCCUUCUAACAGGUUCCUUUGCCAAUCAUAUAAUGUCCAAACCCCAUACAUGCACCCCAUCUACCUGUGCAAAUUUGCUAGAGCUGAAAUAGGUCUCAGGGUGUGAGGCAUGCCCAGGAGACCUGAGCAUUCCUUCUUUCACUCUGCUGGCUUUUGGGGGGAUUGUCCCCCCAGAAGGCUCGGAAGCAUUAUGCAAGGACCACUUGCUGGUGGACUCUUUUACUUAAACGUCAAUCUUCAUGCUUAGAUUCUACGAUUCUCUUCUCAUUCCCUUCAAAUAUUGUGCUUCCCCAUCCCAUUCGCACAUUCCCUGCUCCACCAAGACACCCAGGUGGCCACCGUGUCUCCAGUUAUUCACCCAGGGGUUAUUCCUGGCCCCUCUCUCUAAGUCACCUCUUUGUGUACAAUACAGUUCCUCUCUGGAGUCAACGCUCUCCGAUUCUACUGCCGAUGCUACUGCCAACGCUGCUGUAAGAGACAUCAUUUUCCCCUUGCCUUCUCCCUCCUCUCCCAAUUUUACUGACAUCAAAUACACAUAACCUGAAAUUGACCAUCCUAACUCUGUUUCCAUGUACAGUUCAGUAGUGUCAAGUCCAGUCAUAUCCUUGGGCAACCGCUACCGUCAUCCGUUCUGAGAACACUUUCCGUCUUGCAAAACGGAAACUCUGUGCCCAUUAAAUAAUAGCUUCCAGAGUUCCCAUGGUGGCUCAGCAGGUUAAGAAUCUGACAUGGUACCCAUGAGGAUGCAGGUUCAAUCCCUGGCCUCUCUCAGUGGGUUAAGGGUCUGGCUUUGCCACAGGCUUCGGCGUAGUUUGCAGAUGUCGCUUGGAUCUGGUAUGGCUGUGGCUGCGGCUGUCUCCAGUGGCUGCAGCUCCAUUUCGACCCCUGGCCCAGAAACUUCCACAUGCUGCAGGUAUGGCUGUAAAAAACAAAAAACAAAACAACUUCCCGAGACACUCUUCCCGCAGCCCCCAGCAACCACAUUCUACUCACCACCAUUGUGUUACUCUACACAAUGAAAUAUUAUUCAGCCUUUAAAAAGAAAAGGAAAUCCUGCCAUCUGCCACGAGGUGGAUGAAACUGGAGGGCAUCAUGCUGAGUGAAAUAAGACAGACACAGAAAGAUACAGAUUGUGUGAUCUCACUUUAAUUUUUCACUUGCCUUCUCACCUGGUCUCCUUAAUUCCAGAUUUGCCCUUUCUUCUAAUUCAUUAUUUCUCUGUAGCUAGGGCUGCCGAAUUAUAGUUUGAAGGACAAAAACCUGCCUGUUGCUUGUUUUUGCAAGUAAAGUUGGUUGGAACACAGCCAAGCUCAUUGGUGUAUAUUUAUCUGGGGCAGCUUUUCGGCCACAAAGAAAGCAAAGAAUAGCUGAACGCAGAUUCGUAUGGCUCAGAAGUAUAAAAUAGUCAUUAUCUGGCUCUUUAUAGAAAAAGUUGGCUGACCCUCGAUCUAUAGUAACGAGCGAGUUUCCUAAAAUCUCAAUAUGAUCACAUUACUGCUUAGUUUAAAAUCUUGCCAUGAUUUUUCUUUGGUCUUAAAGUAAAUUCAAACAAUUUACUAAAAAGAAGCCUAAAUCGUGGAUCCAUCAUGAUCUCAUACAAAUUCCUUCCUUGCUACUGUUUCUGUGUGUUUCCGGUGGCCUGCCAACCUCUCUCUUGCAUACAAAAUCUUUGUACAUGUGAUUCUUUCUGGCUUAAAUGCUGUUCAGGCUCCUGUCCCCUUUUCUCUCCUCCCUUCCCCCCACUGUUACACUUCCAGCGAAAUCUUACUCUUCUUUUGGUUCACAAGUUGUCUUUCCCUUGCAAAUAGCUUCCCUGACCCUCUCAGUCUGAUUUGGUUCCCGUGCUACGCUCUCUCAUGGCGCUCUCAGUCUUAUUAUUCUUUUAAACAGCUUUAUAGAGGCAUAAUUUGCCUCUCAUACAAUUUUCCCUUUGGAGGUACAGACUUUGAUCAUUUUAGUACAUUUAUCCUUGUGCACCCAUCACAACCAUCCCAUUUUAGAACAUGUCCAUCACCUACAAAAAUCCCCUCAUGCUUAUUUGCAGUCAAUCCUGCUCUUACCUCCAGCUUUCGGCAUCUCUAAUCUGUGUUCUGUCUAAAUAUAUCCUUUGGGAACAUAUCACAUAAAUGGAAUAAUAUGUAGUCUUUAAUAUCUGGAUUGAUUUACUGAGGAUAAUGUUUUUGAAGUUCAGCCGCCUUGUAGCAGGCUUAUUCUUUUCCACGGCUGCAUAGUAUUCCAUUGCACAGAUGUCCCGCAUUUCCUUUACUCCCCACUCGAUGGACAUUUGCCUUGUUUCCAGUUUGGGGCUCUGAUGAAUAAAAUUGCAUUCACAUGCAUGUCAUGAUCCACCUGUCCCACUCCUGGACGUAUAUCUGGAGAAAACCAUAAGUCAAAAAUAUACAUGCACCUCUAUGUUCACUGCAGCCCUAUUUACAAUAGCCGAGACAUGGAAGCAACCUAAAUGAAAGAGGAAUGGAUAAAGAAA